UGGGGUCGGCGCGGGAGCCCGGGGCACCGGGCUGAGAGGGCAGCUGACGCCGCUGCCGACCGUGGAACCUGCUCCGGGUCAUGCCGGCGAAGGGAGGCUGCGUGGGUCACCGU
rnacentral:ncRNA from 1 species